CAUUUAAAAAAAUAUAUAUAUUAUUAUUUAAUUCCUCCUUUAUAACUAAAGCCUCUUUUAUAACGCCCAUAGUACAGACCCUAUACACAUACACACACCAUACUACUGUCCUUAUAAACAAACAUACACACACACACACACACACGUUCACCACGCCCUAUAUACGCACGAUACACCCUCUAGACAUCAAAAUAUUACCCUCUAGACACACAUACACAACAGUCCCAACACACAUAACAGCCCAUAAACAAAUGCAUAUGCUACAUCCUCUAGACACACACACACUACAG